rnacentral:rRNA from 1 species
AUGGCGGCUGGAUCAAGUUCGGAAGGAAGUCAUGGCAAGGAGACGACGGAGGAACUACUUGCUCGUUUGAAUCUCUAGGAGGAAGAGGACGAUGACUUUGUGUGGGAGGAGGAGCUGCCGGACCUGGGUGAGCCGGCGAAGUGGCUUGCCAUAGCUAGGGCUCACACCUCAAGGACGUUCAGCCCUAAUGCUUUAUAUGGUGAUAUGCGUGCGGCAUGGAAUCCCGUGAAAACGGUGGUUUGGAGGAAGAUCAAGGACAAUCUAUUCACAACACAAUUCGGAUGCCUUGGGGAUUGG